GAUGAACGCUGGCGGCGUGCCUAAUACAUGCAAGUCGGGCGAACAGACGAGGAGCUUGCUCCUCUGACGUUAGCGGCGGACGGGUGAGUAACACGUGGAUAACCUACCUAUAAGACUGGGAUAACUUCGGGAAACCGGAGCUAAUACCGGAUAAUAUAUUGAACCGCAUGGUUCAAUAGUUAAAGACGGUUUUGCUGUCACUUAUAGAUGGAUCCGCGCCGCAUUAGCUAGUUGGUAAGGUAACGGCUUACCAAGGCGACGAUGCGUAGCCGACCUGAGAGGGUGAUCGGCCACACUGGAACUGAGACACGGUCCAGACUCCUACGGGAGGCAGCAGUAGGGAAUCUUCCGCAAUGGGCGAAAGCCUGACGGAGCAACGCCGCGUGAGUGAUGAAGGUCUUCGGAUCGUAAAACUCUGUUAUUAGGGAAGAACAAAUGUGUAAGUAACUAUGCACGUCUUGACGGUACCUAAUCAGAAAGCCACGGCUAACUACGUG
rnacentral:rRNA from 1 species